rnacentral:tRNA from 2 species
AACUCUAAUAGUUUACUAAAAACAUUGGCCUUGUAAGCCAAAGAAUGAAGAUUACCCCCUUCUUAGAGUUCCC